rnacentral:rRNA from 1 species
AUUGAACGCUGGCGGCAUGCCUUACACAUGCAAGUCGAACGGCAGCACGGGUGCUUGCACCUGGUGGCGAGUGGCGAACGGGUGAGUAAUGCAUCGGAACGUGCCCAGUCGUGGGGGAUAACGCAGCGAAAGUUGUGCUAAUACCGCAUACGUCCUGAGGGAGAAAGCAGGGGAUCUUCGGACCUUGUGCGAUUGGAGCGGCCGAUGUCAGAUUAGCUAGUUGGUGAGGUAAGAGCUCACCAAGGCGACGAUCUGUAGCUGGUCUGAGAGGAUGAUCAGCCACACUGGAACUGAGACACGGUCCAGACUCCUACGGGAGGCAGCAGUGGGGAAUUUUGGACAAUGGGGGCAACCCUGAUCCAGCCAUGCCGCGUGAGUGAAGAAGG